rnacentral:rRNA from 1 species
UACGUAGGGUGCAAGCGUUGUCCGGAAUUAUUGGGCGUAAAGAGCGUGUAGGCGGCCCGAUUAGUCCGCUGUGAAAGUCCAGGGCUCAACCCUGGAAUGCCGGUGGAAACUGUCGGGCUAGAGUCCGGAAGGGGCGAGUGGAAUUCCUGGUGUAGCGGUGAAAUGCGCAGAUAUCAGGAGGAACACCAAUGGCGAAAGCGGCUUCCUGGUCCAGCACCGACGUUCAGGCACGAAAGCGUGGGGAGCAAACAGG